CAGUAGCCGCGGUAAUACGAAGGGUGCAAGCGUUAAUCGGAAUUACUGGGCGUAAAGCGUGCGUAGGCGGUGAGUUAAGUCUGCUGUGAAAUCCCCGGGCUCAACCUGGGAAUGGCAGUGGAUACUGGCUCGCUAGAGUGUGUCAGAGGAUGGUGGAAUUCCCGGUGUAGCGGUGAAAUGCGUAGAGAUCGGGAGGAACAUCAGUGGCGAAGGCGGCCAUCUGGGACAACACUGACGCUGAGGCACGAAAGCGUGGGGAGCAAACAGGAUUAGAGACCCCCGUAGUCCCUGUCUCUUAUCC
rnacentral:rRNA from 1 species